rnacentral:rRNA from 1 species
UACGAAGGGGGCUAGCGUUGUCCGGAGUUAUUGGGCGUAAAGCGCGCGCAGGCGGCUUGACGCGCCCGACGUGAAAGCCCCGGGCUUAACCUGGGAAUGGCAUUUGGGACUGCAAGGCUAGAGUGUGGCAGAGGAGACUGGAAUUCCUGGUGUAGCAGUGAAAUGCGUAGAGAUGCGGAGGAACACCGAUGGCGAAGGCAGCCCCCUGGGCUAGCACUGACGCUCAGGCACGAAAGCGUGGGGAGCAAACAGG